GCGGCGGAGGGCCGGCUCAGGAGCACCUGCCGGGGAGGAGCCCAGAGAAGUCACCCCGGCAGACGCCUGGGUGUCCCGGCAGCCUGCGGUGGCGGUGGUGGAGGCAGCUGGCCGUCCCGCCUGAGCCAGAGGGAGAGCGCGGGAUGGAGACUUCCUGGAAGACUCCUGCCACACACUCAUGAGUCAAGACCUCCACCUGUGCUCUGCAUAUUCCCAGACACCUCCUUUCCGAUGUCACCGUCGCCAGCAAGGGGCCCAGUGUAAGAAGGAGGAAGGACUGCUUUAUCUUUAAAGAUACAGCUAGGCCCUCUUCCAGGAAGCACGUCUGCUUGCCCCCGCACCCACCAGGGAGGGGACACAGAAGUGAGAGGCGAUCCCAGGCCAGGAGAAAAGGGAGCAAGAGCUGCAGGUGAUCCUGACCUGGGCAUCAGGGGCCUCGGGAGGGCACAAUCUUCUUCCCGGUGCUCAUCCUGGGGAGGGGCCUGUGAGGAGGUGGAGGACUAGCAAUCAGACUGAAAGGACACUUCCUGAGGCUCUGGGCUCAGAUUUCCUGCCCUGCUCACCUCCCCACCCCUCAUACAGGUACAUGGGACCACUCCACAGUCAGCUCCAAGCUAGAGGGGCCGCCAGCCUGUCAUUUUAAAAACUGACUUUUCCAUUCAUUUCCUGCUCAUCCCCACAUUCCAUUGCUUCCCUGAGUUAAAAAUAAAGGCGCUCCAUCCCCCAAGCCCCUCCCACUGACCCUCCUGCAGCCACUGCUACUGUACCUGCCAGCAGCCGGGCAGCCGGCCGAGGCCCUCCUGGGCCAGCCCCAGUCUGGCUGCCGCAGCUUCCCCAAGCAAGCCGGGUCCGGGCCCGGGGCCGGCUGCAUUCCUCUCCGGAAUCUUUGCUCCACUCUUUAUUGUGCCUCAAGUUUCAGCUGCAACUAAAUAAAUACAAUCCCGCUACUCUCGGCCCUGGGGACAGCCACAGGGUUUACUGGUGCAAACAGCCUGGGCUGGCCUGUUGCUUUGGGAGUUCUUCCAGAUCGGUGUGGAAGGAAAUCUGGACAAUGGAGACGAGCAGCCCAGAUGAGGCCAAACUCCACGGUUAACAGCCCCCACUCUCAGCCAUCCUUCCCUGACUGCGGCCCUGCCGAAGCCGGGAUUGGCACUUCACUCCUAAAGGCCGCCCCCACCUGCCUGUGCAGAGUAAGGGGGAAUCCAGCGUCGUGGAGACCAGGGCCCUUGGCAGUCUGCCCCAAGGCCCCCCGUGCUUCAACUCUGAAGAAUACUGAAAACUCCCCAAAGGGCUGUUGCCUCUCACUUCCCGCUGGGAGCCCAACAUUCUGCCUGCUCAGUAAGCACCUAAUAAAUGCCCACUCAAUGAACAAUGGCUGUGAGAUCCAGUGUGGAGACUAACCCAGCCCAGCCCUGCCCAACAGAACCUUCUGCGCUGAUGUAAACGUCUGUAUCUGCAAGGUCAGUGUGGCAGCCACGUGUGGCUGAGAGUUUCCAGCAUGGCCAGUGCUACUGAGGACUGAGUUUUUCAUUUGUGUUAAAUAAAUAACUUAAAUGUAAACCCAUGCCUGCUAGCUGCCCUGCUGGACCAGGUCUACCUCUCCUCCUCCUCCUCCCUGGAGACAAGGCAUCCUCCGUAAAUUUCUUCUCCAGAAGGCAAACAGAAAAGCGACUUUUCAGCCAAGGCAAAAAGAGACUGAUAUUUCUGUUUUAAA